GUGCUUGCUUCGGCAGCACAUAUACUAAAAUUGGAACGAUACAGAGAAGAUUGGCAUGGCCCCUGCGCAAGGAUGACAGGCAAAUUCGUGAAGCAUUCCAUAUUUUU
rnacentral:snRNA from 1 species